rnacentral:rRNA from 1 species
CCCUUAGAUGUUCUGGGCCGCACGCGCGCUACACUGACGAAGACAGCGAGCAUGUCCUACGCCGACAGGUGCGGGGAAUCUUGUCAAACUUCGUCGUGAUGGGGAUUGAUUAUUGAAAUUCUUGAUCAUCAACGAGGAAUUCCUAGUAAGCGCAAGUCAGCAGCUUGCGUUGAUUACGUCCCUGCCCUUUGUACACACCGCCCGUCGCUACUACCGAUUGAAUGGUUUAGUGAGAUCUUCGGAUUGGCGCCACUGCGGCUCAGCAAUGGGCUCGGUGGAUGCCGAAAAGUUGAUCAAACUUGAUCAUUUAGAGGAAGUAAAAGUCGUAACA